AAUGCCGGAAUAGCUCAGUUGGUAGAGCAGAGGACUGAAAAUCCUCGUGUCACCAGUUCA
rnacentral:tRNA from 1 species